ACGAAGGGUGCAAGCGUUAAUCGGAAUUACUGGGCGUAAAGCGCGCGUAGGUGGUUUGUAAGUAGGGGGUGAAAUCCCAGGGCUCAACCCUGGAACUGCCUUCUAGACUGCAAGCCUGGAGGUCAGGAGAGGCGAGUGGAAUACCGAGUGUAGAGGUGAAAUUCGUAGAUAUUCGGUGGAACACCAGUGGCGAAGGCGGCUCACUGGUCCAUUACUGACGCUGAGGUGCGAAAGCGUGGGGAGCAAACAGGA
rnacentral:rRNA from 1 species